rnacentral:tRNA from 1 species
GUGGUGGCUCAGUGGUAGAGCACUUGCCUAGCAUGUGAAAGGCACUGGGUUUGAUUCUCAGCACCACA